CUUGUUUGAAAACAGUGAAGGAUAAAAUGUACUCACACAUCUUAGAUUGAGGGAACUGUAAUUCAGAGUUGUGAACACUUUGGAUUUUCAGGAACCAUAUUCUACAGGCCCUUCUGAAAGUGCAUGUUUUUAUACACAAGCAUAUACUGAUAUCAGUGGAAAUACAUAAACUCUCAUCAGUCUCAGCUAUUGUGAAGGUCAGUCAAGUGUCAAUCACUAGGUUUUUUAUCAGUUAUAUGUUUUGAAAAUAUUUCUCCUAGUCUAUGGCUUUUUCUUUCGUUUUCUUAAUUUCUUUUGCAGAGCAGAUACUUUUAAUUUUCAUGUCCAAUUUGCCAUUUGCUGCAUGUAGAUUGUGUUUUUCACCAACAAAUGUCAUAAAUAUAUAUUAUUUUUGGAAACACAUGAUCAGGAUGAAGUAUUCCCUUCCUGUUCCUAAAUUGCUGUUUUAAAAAUCACAUAUCGAUAUUGAAUGCUGCCAAAUGUUUUAUAUCUCUAUCAAACAUUAUUAUAUAAAUUUUCUUUGGUGUUUUAAUGUGAUGCAUCUCAUUGAUUAAUUUUUGAAUGUUGAAUGUGUCUUAUACAUCCAACAUAAGUCUCACUUGUUCUUGGAUGAGCUACCUUUUAAAUAUUGGUAAAUUUGCAUUGCUUUAUGUUACUGAAGAUUAUUGCAUCCUAUAUUCAUGAAGUAUAUUGGUCUUUAGCUUAGAUUUUCAUUUUGUUUAUUUUGUCUUUCACCGACACCAAUAGUAAUCCUAGCUUCAUCAAAUAUUGGGAAGUAUUCUCUCCUCCUCUGUUUUCUAAAGACUUUAUGUAGAAUUGAUAUCAUUUCUGUAGUAAACAACUUCCAAGUCUGACUUCCAAUGAUCCCUACAUCCUGUUAUUCAUGGACUUUAUUAUCCUGUCCCCUUGAUAUGGGCUAGACCUGGUGACUUUGCUCUAAUAAACAGAACAUGGCAAAGUUGAUAGGAUGUCACUUUUGAGAUUAGGUUAUAAUAGACUAUAGCUUAGUCUUGCUAGCUUUUUUUUUUUUUUUUUCAUGUCCUCUCUCUUGCUUGCUCUCAUGAAUCAAGAUGCCAUGUUGUUAGAUGAUUUAUAAAGCAGUCCAAAGGGCAAAGAAUCUGGGGAGUCCUCCAGGCAAGUGCUCAUGAGGAACUGAGGCCUCAAUCCAACAGUGUACAGAAACUAAAUCCUGCCAAUAACAACAUGUGUGAGCAAGAGUACAGAAACUUCCAGCCAAGCCAUAAUUGACUGUAGAAAUGUGAGAGACCCAGAACCAGAGGAGCUGGCAAAGCCACAACUUCUCAAAGAGGAGAGAGAGAGGGAGACACAGAAUCCCAAGCAGGCUCCAGACUCCAUGCUCCAAGCUAUCAGCACAGAGCCCAACGUGAGAAUUGCCACAUCAUGACCUGAGCAGAAGUCAGGGGCUUAACCCACUGAGCCACCCAGGUGCCCCAAGGUGGAUGUCAUCCAAUCUGUUGGCAGUCUGAACAGAACAAAGAUGGCAGAUGAAGGGUGAAUUGCUUUCUGCUUGAGCCAGGACAUCCAUUUUCUGCCCUCAGAUAUUGACACUCCUGGCUCUUGGACCUUUAAAGGACCUGGAGUGAAUUAUACCACCAGCUUUCCUAGUUCUUCAGCUUGAAGACAACAGAUCAUGGGACUUCUGAGUCUCCAUACUUACGGGCCUCACAAAAACCCUGGCAUGCUAACUUGCUAGCUUGAGCAUAUGGUAUGAUAAAUAUCAGAUGGGACUUUUUACCAGUGAAAUCAUAGCUUGUAAUCAGCACUGCAUCUUGCUACUGGUGUGAGGGGAUCCUUUGCCUUAUGCCAACUAGAAGGCUAUCGAAAUCAACCCACAGGAUGUUGCCACAUUUACCCUGAUAGAACUUUUCAUACAAGAGCUCUUAAAAUCAAGAACUGAAGUCUGGAGAGAAUCAAGGGAAGUACAAAUGUGUAAAAAUAUUGAGUGCCAGAUUUAUCACUAAUAAUUUAUUCUCUUAACACCUUGCAAAGUACACUUCCACUGUUAUUUGCAUUUUGAAGGUUAAAAAACAAAUCUAUAAACCUAUUGACUUUUAUAAACUUCUACGUAAGAUAUCUCAACCAAAAUAAAGUUCCAUGAGAAUUUGUUUGAGUUUUAAGAACUCAUUCUUCCAUGCCCUCAUUCCUCAUACUCCCCAUCCAAUACUCGUCAAAAGACAACUAAGAAAUAUGGUUAAAAUGACACCAAGAAAAAACAAUUACUUCUUAGGAAUUAUUAGGGUAAAAGUUUAGUGAGUUAAGUUACUCUUAAAUUCAUUUACUUAUAUUAUUUUCAGGUAAUAUAUGUCCACAUAUUUUUUAAAAUAAAAUAAAAUAAAAACCUAAAAUGAUGGCCAUUGCCAUACCAAUCCCACUGUAAUUUUUGCUUCUUCAAGUCAACUCAUUUUAAGUAGUAUCAUCUGCUUUUUGUUUACUUUCCUUUUGGUAUUUAACUUCAUGUUUUUAAAUAACAUAGCAUGUUGCUUUGUAGUUUUUUUAUAGCUUUGGACUUUUAUAUAUGGACUUAUUUCUAAUGGAUGAUUACAGUUUAGCUUACAUUAUACCCCUGAAAUAAAUAUACCUCUACCAAACCAAUAUAGCUCAGACCUCAUUCAUCAACUCAUUCCAGUUGAUAUAAAGGCAUGGAAAAGUAAAUCUUAGAAUAUUAGCAAAAGAAGAUUUUGUAAAAUAGUAACCAGUAAAUAGGUAGUGGUUAUAGAUAGAGAUGGAUUUAAAUGGAAUCUACACUAAUUACAUAAACCACAGAAAUCCUAUAGUCCUGUCCAAGAUUUCUGCAAAUUUCUCAGUGCCACUUAAUACUAUAAUUCUGCAGCCUUUUGUCUAUAUUUACCUUCUACCAAAUUGAUUGCACUGAGAAACUAGGCCAUAGUUUCAUUUUCAAAAUUAAAAAGAAAAAAAAAACUGUCACUGAAUAUUGAUAAGUGAAAAGCCCCUUUCUGCCUAAUUUUUGAGAGGCUUGUAUUUUCAUGAUUAGAGCAUUCUCCUUAUGGUCAGUCUCUCUCCCCCUAUUAUAGUACACAUAAAACAUCCUUCUCAACUUAUGAAGGAGUAUCUCCUAAAAAGCCAUCAUCAACUGAAAAUAUUGUAAUUCCAAAAAGCAUUUUUUUCCACGUAUCCUACCAAACAUCACAGCUUAGCGUAGCCUAGCUUGAACAUGCUCAGAAACCUUAUAUUAGCCUAUACUUGGGAAAAAUAAUUUAACACAGAAACUACUUUUAAUGAACCCUUGAGUAUCUCAUGUAAUUUAAAGAAUGCUGUGCUGAAAGUGAAAAACAGAUGGCUAUAUGGGUAUAGAAUGGUUGUAAGUGUAUUGGUUGUUUACCCUCGUGUUUGUAUGGCUAAGUGUGAGCUGUGGCUCACUGCCACUGCCCAGAAUCAGGAAAGACUAUCUUGCUGCUUAUCCCUAGCCCAAGGAAAUAUCGACAUUUAAAAUCUGAAUACAGUUUCCAAUUGACUGUAUAUCACCUUCUGCUACUGUAAAGUAGAAGAAUUGUGUUAGACCAUCAUAAUUCAGGGACCAUCUGUAGAUCCUUCCCUUGCAAUAAUGCAUUUGAAUAAAGUCUCUACUUAUCUAAGUCCCAGUUUGUUUUUUUAUCUGAUUUUGAGUUUGAGAAACAUUAUGGAUGUUUUAUGGUGUUACAGAGACCAUAUCCUCCAACCUAUGAUUUUGAAUCAUGUCAAUAUUUUUUUCUUUCUUCUUCCUAGCCACAUAUCAAUUUGCUCCUUAGAAUUUGCUAAGAAGUUUUAGCAUAUGAGCCAAAUGAUUUCCAAGUAUCUAGGGAAUUUUAUUUUUCCAAGUAAGUGCAUAUUUAUAUUUCAUGAAAAUAUGAAAAUAUUCCAUACAAGUAUUUCAUUUGUCAAUUGAGAAGAUACUCAUUCUACAACUAGACAUGGGAUUCUGGGUAAAUCUUAUAUAUCUGAACAUUCCUAGCUGGAUAAAUCUCAGUUCUUAACAUUUUUUACCUCAGUUGUUAUCAAAAACACAAGUUUAGAAAAAUUUUUUGGGGGCUCCUUGGUGGUUCAGUUAGUUAAAUGUUCAACUUUUGGUUUCAGCUCAGAUCACGAUCUCAUGGUUUUGUGAGAUUGAGCCCCACAUUGGGCUCCGCACUGUUAGUGCUUGGGAUUCUCUGUCUCCCUGUCUCUCUGCCGCUCCCUGACUUGUGCUAUCUCUGCCACUUUCAAAAUAAAUUUUUUAAAAAAAGAAAAACAAAUGUGAGAGAGAGAACAAAUGGGGGUGGGGCAGAAGGAGAGGGAUGAGAGAUUAUUAAGUGGGCUCGAUGCCCAGCCUGGAGCAGUAUGUGGGGCUCAAUCUCAUGACUGUGAGAUCAUGGCUUGAGCCUAAAUCAAGAGUCAGACGCUAAACAAACUGAGCCAUCCAGGCACCCCAGUUUAGAAAAUUUAAUAGAAAUUUCAGAAUAAUACAGAUGAGGAAAAUUUGAUUUAAUUCUCCUUGGUAGUUUUUUACAUAAAAAUGUUACAUUAAAUGUUAUCUUCAGGGGAUGAUGACAGAGUAGGAGGAUCCUUGGCUCACUGUGUCCCACAGAUACAACUAGGUAACACCCACAUCAAUGUAAAUAACUGAGAAAACAACCUGAAGACUGGUAAAAACAGACUCUCCACAGCUAAAUGUACAGAAUAGGCCACAUCAAAGAAGGCAGGAAGGGCAGAGACACAGUCAGGAACCAAAAUGACCCACAGAACUUUUCAAGGGAGGGAGGGAUGCUGCUGUUGUGGAGGGAGAGGAGAUAACCUCAUAGCAAGCAUCCAAAGCAUGAAGGGACCUGUAUUGAGAAGAUGAAUCCUCUUUUUUUAUUUUUUUUAAUGUUUAUUUAUUUUUGAGAGAGAGAGAGAGAGAGCAUGAACGGGGGAGGGUCAGAGAGAGGGAGACACAGGAUCUGAAACAGGCUCCAGGCUCUGAGCUGUCAGCACAGAGCCUGACGCGGGGCUCGAACUCACGGACCGUGAGAUCAUGACCUGAGCCGAAGUUGGACGCUUAACCGACUGAGCCACUCAGGCGCGCUGAGAAGAUGAAUCCUCUUAACACUAGGCUUUGAAAACCAGAGAGGCUUAACUUCACAAUUUCUUAUAAUCAAUGGGGCUUAACACUUGGAACCCUAAAAAUCGUCAGGCUUGGCUCUGAGAGUGCCAGAGGACAAUAAGAAACUGAGAUCCCACCCUUAAAGAGACAGCAUAACAAACAGCCCUGUUGAGAUACAGAAUAGAUGAAGCAGUUUGAAAAACACUUGGGGUAUAAGGAGAUGAGAUAUGUUUACUAAACUCAGAGCAUGUUCUGGAAGGGCAGGGAUCUUUGGGAGACUUCUCCAAGAGCAGAAGAGCUGGUAGGUACCACUUCCCUCUUCUGCACCACCCCCGCUUCCCUUCCUAGACACAGGAAUACCUUCAGGAACCAGCACAGACCUUUCCACCUAGCUUGCUAAAGGCAUGCCCAUCCACAUAUUCUCCUAUAGACCUGCCCCAUUAAACACAUCCUCAGAAGUUUUCUGAAGUGUAUGCAAGCCUCCUUCCAGACAAGACCAGUGUAACCCCUUGCUAACACUGCAUGCCCCACCCCUGAAUUCUCCUGUGGAACCACCCCCUCCAACACACUUGCAGCAGCAGUCCAUCCAGAGCAGUUACACAAGAGUUGCAGUUUGCAAGCAGCCCUGACAGAGGUCAGCAGGAUCUCAAAGUGACUCCUGCCCAGGGGAGAGGGGAAGAAAACCACAUGUACCAGUUUGUGGUCCUAGCAAUGGACUGGGGCAGACACCUAUUCUGAUUACUGGCCCCACCCACCAAUGAAAGCUUCUUUGAGUAUAAUACAAGGAGAGUGCCCUGAAGUUCCAUAAGACCACAGCUUGCAAAUGCCUGGUGUGAUCCAACUCAAGAUCAAGGUGGACCCAGACUAGUCCAUGAACAACCCAAGGACCAAACCUGCCCACAACAGGCAAAGAGGGCCAUUGCAGAUGACAGGAAUGAAGGAAACCAGACUGAAGGAAGCUCAGCCACAAUAGUAGGGCACCACCCAACACACAUAGAUGUCUCUGAAGUGCCAGGUUCUAGUGAACAGGGGCUGUUACACUGCAGUGCACCACAGUACCUCUUAUAAGGCCAUUAGUUUCAAGAGCAGGAGACACAGCUAACUUUCCCAACAUGUAGACAGGCACAGGGAGACAUAAUGAGGAGACAGAGAAAUAUGUCCCAAUGAAAGAACAAGACAAAAUCACAGCAUGAAAGCUAAUGAAACAUAGUUACUCAUUAGACUUGAGAAAAGAAUGGAGGGUCUCAGACCCUAAAAUGAUAAAGAGAAACAUAAAAAAAAAUAACAAAUCCUAGACGAGGAACUCAGUAACUGAAAUUUAAAAUACAGUAGAGGAAAUAAAUAAUAGACUAGAGGAAGCAGAAGAAUGGAUUAGCAACCUGGAAUACAGCAUAAUGGAAAGCAAUCAAGCUGAACAAGACAAAGAAAAAAGACUAAUAAAAUGAAUAGAUUUAGGGAACUCAGUGAUAGCAUCAAGCCUAAUAACAUUCACAUUACAGGAACCAUGAAAGAAGAAAGGGGGAAAGAAAACUUACCUGAAAAGGAAUACUUGAAAACUUCCCAAAUCUGCAGAAGGAAACAGACAUCCAGGUCCAGGAGGCCCAGAGAGCCCCCAACAAAUCAACCCAAGGAGGUCCAUACCAAGACACAAUAAGUAUAAUGGUAAGAAAUAGUGAUAAAAAAGGAAUUUUAAAAGCAGCAAGAGAGGGCUGCCUGGGUGGCUUAGUUGGUUAAGCAUCCAGAUCUGAAUUUCAGGCCAUGGUCUCAUGGUCAUCAGAUCAAGCCCUGCAUUGGGCUCCGUGCUGAACAUGGAGCCUGCUUGGGAUUUUCUCUCUCCCUGCCCCACCUCACUCUC